rnacentral:rRNA from 1 species
AUUGAACGCUGGCGGCAGGCCUAACACAUGCAAGUCGAGCGGCAGCGGGAAAGUAGCUUGCUACUUUUGCCGGCGAGCGGCGGACGGGUGAGUAAUGCCUGGGAAAUUGCCCAGUCGAGGGGGAUAACAGUUGGAAACGACUGCUAAUACCGCAUACGCCCUACGGGGAAAGCAGGGACCUUCGGGCCUUGCGCGAUUGGAUAUGCCCAGGUGGGAUUAGCUUGUUGGUGAGGUAAAGGCCUACCAAGGCGACGAUCCAUAGCUGGUCUGAGAGGACGAUCAGCCACACUGGGACUGAGACACGGCCCAGACUCCUACGGGAGGCAGCAGUGGGAAUAUUGGACAAUGGGCGAAAGCCUGAUCCAGCAAUACCGCGUGUGUGAAGAAGGCCUUAGGGUUGUAAAGCACUUUCAAUUGGAAGGAAAAACUCAUGGCCAAUACCCAUGAGCUUGACAUUACCUUUAGAAGAAGCACCGGCUAACUCCGUGCC